UUAUUUUUUGACAAUUUUAUCAUGUCUUUUAAAACAAUUAAGGAAUGCAGACCUCUGUUGUUUCUUCUUUUUGAGGUUGUGAUUCUUUCUCUGUGGGUGCAGUCCCAUUAUCUUCAUCAUCUGACAAAAUUACAUAUGCUUCUUGAUCUUCAGUCUCAUCAUGUUCAUCAUGUUCUUCUACGUUUUCUUCUUUUGGAACCUGUAUACCAAAACAUCAAAACAAAUUUUUAUUUUUUGACAAUUUUAUCAUGUCUUUUUAAACAAUUAAGGAAUGCAUACCUCUGUUGUUUCUUCUUUUUGAGGUUGUGAUUCUUUCUCUGUGGGUGCAGUCCCAUUAUCUUCAUUAUCUGACAAAAUUACAUAUGCUUCUUGAUCUGCAGCAUCAUUAUAUUCAUUAUGUUCUUCUACUUUUUCUUCUUUUCCUUCUUCUCUUUCCAUUUCUUCAUCGCCUUGUUUGGGAUUCUCUUGUUUUUCUGUUUCUUCAACAUUGCAAGUAGAAUUUUCAUAUACCAGUUUUACCUUCUCACCAAAGGACAUUGAUUUCCUUUUUCUGCUUUGAUGCACAACUGUUUCAAUUGCAGGUUUCAAGACAUGAUCAAUUCUUCCUUGAUGUCCUUGUUCCACUUGAAUCCAUCCCUGACACCAAUCCUUCUUGCUCAUUCUAUAUCCUUUGAUCACAAGAUCAAAAACAUCCAACAGAUCCUUGUCUUCAGGAUUCUUCUGUGAAACCAAGUGGUCGUAUUCAUGAGUAUGAACACCAACUAUUGGUGUCACUUCAACCUGCAAAGAUAAACAAAAUUCCAAACUGUGUAAAAAUAAUGCACAAUUCUUAAUUAACCUUUUAAAAUCCGUUGUAAAUAGUUUAAAUUGCUUUUAACCCUUUGUAAAUCCUUAAAACUUGAUUGUAAAAACUAUUGUAAAACAUACUCUUUAUUUAUAAACAGUGUUUAAAACAUAAAAAAAGCCACAACUAAGAAAAUGUACCUUGUCACCAUCUGCUAUCAUUGUUAUAGCUUUUGCACUUGGAGACGAUGUUGAUCUCCAUUGGAGAAUUAAUGGAAU
rnacentral:sRNA from 1 species